rnacentral:rRNA from 1 species
GACGAACGCUGGCGGCGUGCUUAACACAUGCAAGUCGAGCGGUAAGGCCCUUUCGGGGGUACGACGAGCGGCGAACGGGUGAGUAACACGUGGGUGACCUGCCCUCAGCUCUGGGAUAAGCCUGGGAAACCGGGUCUAAUACUGGAUAUGACUCCAUGACGCAUGUUGUGGGGUGGAAAGCCUUGUGCGGCUGAGGAUGGGCCCGCGGCCUAUCAGCUUGUUGGUGGGGGAUGGCCUACCAAGGCGACGACGGGUAGCCGGCCUGAGAGGGCGACCGGCCACACUGGGACUGAGACACGGCCCAGACUCCUACGGGAGGCAGCAGUGGGGAAUCUUGCGCAAUGGGCGAAAGCCUGACGCAGCGACGCCGCGUGAGGGAUGACGGCCUGGU